GGGGAAUAUUGGACAAUGGGCGCAAGCCUGAUCCAGCCAUGCCGCGUGGGUGAAGAAGGCCUUCGGGUUGUAAAGCCCUUUUGUUGGGAAAGAAAAGCAGCCGGCCAAUACCCGGUUGUUCUGACGGUACCCAAAGAAUAAGCACCGGCUAACUUCGUGCCAGCAGCCGCGGUAAUACGAAGGGUGCAAGCGUUACUCGGAAUUACUGGGCGUAAAGCGUGCGUAGGGUGGUGGUUUAAGUCCGUUGUGAAAGCCCUGGGCUCAACCUGGGAACUGCAGUGGAUACUGGAUCACUAAGGUGGGGCAGAGGGUAGUGGAAUUCCCGGUGUAGCAAUGAGAUGCGUGUAGGACGGGAGGAACAGCAGUGGAGAAGGAGACUGCCUGGGCGGAAACUGACACUGAAGUAAGAAAGCGUGGGGAGCAAACA
rnacentral:rRNA from 1 species